rnacentral:rRNA from 1 species
UACGAAGGGACCUAGCGUAGUUCGGAAUUACUGGGCUUAAAGAGUUCGUAGGUGGUUGAAAAAGUUGGUGGUGAAAUCCCAGAGCUUAACCCUGGAACUGCCAUCAAAACUUUUCAGCUAGAGUAUGAUAGAGGAAAGCAGAAUUUCUAGUGUAGAGGUGAAAUUCGUAGAUAUUAGAAAGAAUACCAAUUGCGAAGGCAGCUUUCUGGAUCAUUACUGACACUGAGGAACGAAAGCAUGGGUAGCGAAGAGGAUUAGAUACCCUCGUAGUCCAUGCCGUAAACGAUGUGUGUUAGACGUUGGAAAUUUAUUUUCAGUGUCGCAGCGAAAGCGAUAAACACACCGCCUGGGGAGUACGACCGCAAGGUUAAAACUCAAAUGAAUUGACGGGGACCCGCACAAGUAGUGGAGCAUGUGGUUUAAUUCGAAGAUACGCGCAGAACCUUACCAACACUUGACAUGUUCGUCGCGACUCUAAGAGAUUAGAGUUUUCGGUUCGGCCGGACGAAACACAGGUGCUGCAUGGCUGUCGUCAGCUCGUGUCGUGAGAUGUUGGGUUAAGUCCCGCAACGAGCGCAACCCUCACUUUUAGUUGCCAUCAUUAAGUUGGGCACUCUGAAAGAACUGCCAGUGAUAAGCUGGAGGAAGGUGGGGAUGACGUCAAGUCCUCAUGGCCCUUACGUGUUGGGCUACACACGUGCUACAAUGGUAUCUACAACAGGAAGCAAGACUGCGAAGUUAAGCAAAUCCCUAAAAGAUACCUCAGUUCGGAUUGCACUCUGCAACUCGAGUGCAUGAAGCUGGAAUUACUAGUAAUCGUGGAUCAGCGUGCCACGGUGAAUGCGUUCCCGGGUCU